UCGCUUGGGCUUCUCUUCGUCACGUACAAACCGUUCUCCUUUUACUAAUGAUUUCCGAUGAGAGGGCCGUCAACAAGCUCACAAUAUUUUUGGGGGCUCUGUUUUGACAGAGCU
ensembl:snRNA U5 U5 spliceosomal RNA